rnacentral:lncRNA from 1 species
AUUCAGAUACGAUACCAUUAGAGAAGAUGAUAGAGGAGUUGAGAGAGAAAAGAAAGAUACCGAUUGGUGCAUCAAACGAUGGAAGUAGCGAUUGAUGAUGGAAGUAGCGAUUGGUGAUGGAAGCAGCGAUGGAAGUUUUUUUCACAAAGUCUUCUUUAUGUGAGUUUUUUUUUUCUUUUCGCUCUUAAGUUUGAUUGCAUUGGCUGCUCCCUGGAAUUGGGUCUGGCAGGUUUGUUGGACUAAUUCUGCCACAAUAUCUAUUUAGCUAAUAUUUUAUACUAUUGGUAAUUAGUAAUUUGGAAGGAAAAUUUGGUGCUUGUAACUAGUUUUGAUAUCUAAUAGAGCCAACAACAGGAAAACAUAACAUAGUAAUUAAAUUCAAAUACCAAACAGAGACAAUGAAUUCCACAGAGAACCACAACUAACACUGUCAAAAUACUGACCAUGUAUCCGAGAGAGAGACGUAUAAAAUGAUAUUCAAUUCAAUCAAUGGCACAUUAUCAAGUAAAACAAAAUAAGAACAAAACCUGGACUCACAAUCAUUACUAGCAGCAAACUAAUCUUGUAUAUGAUCAUGUUUUUAUUAGGAUUGAUGUAGGAUUUUUUUAUUCUAGAUUUAUUUCCUCAAUUAAGGGAUUCUUAGUGUACAGUUUUCAUUAUAAAUAGGGAAAAAUAUAACAACCUCCCUUGAGUUCUAUCUAAAUGCACCUAACAUCCCCUCCAUUUUCCCAAACAUCAAAACGAGGGAAACAGAGAGUGAAUACUUGAAGGUUGUGUUGAGCAAGGAAACCUACUUGAAGGUUGUGUUGAGCAAGGGAACCUAAUCAGCAACUCUAAAACACCCGCGUGAUAGCGAACAGAGUUAGCAAACAGAAAUGUGUAAAACCCCACUACAACUAAAAGAGUAAAACCCCACUACAGGGAUUGCAGAUUUCCCCAUUUCAAAAGCUCAAUAACCCACAACUAUUGAAAUGUCGCAUAAACACACAAAGUUGGGGUUUUUUUAUUUUAAAAAAAUGUAUAUGUAAUGUCGCAUAAACACACAAAAAAAUUGGGGUUUUUUUUUUCCUUUUGUCAAGCAAGAUGCUAUGAAUAAUCACAAACCCUAAAAAUUAAGAAAAGAAACAGAAAAACCCAACAAAGAGAGAAAAAUAAGGAUUCAGAUACGAUACCAUUAGAUAAGAUGAUAGAGGAGUUGAGAGAGAAAAGAAAGAUAUCGAUUGGUGCAUCAAACGAUGGAAGUAGCGAUUAAUGAUGGAAGUAGCGAUUGGUGAUGGAAGCAGCGAUGGAAAGAAGAUGAUGAACAGUGAAGGUGCUUCGAUUUAUGCCAUGAGUGAGGAACCGAUUGAGUGAAGAUUUCGUUAGUGAGAUUGAGCCAUUAGGGUUAGUGAGAUUGAAAUUUAGGUUUCAGAUUUGGGGGGGAAACUGAGAUUGAGGAAGUAUUUUCGUUUUAGGGUUUUGGAGAUGAUGGAGGGAGAUUGAAAUUAGGGAAAAGAGGUGUGGGAGGGAGAAGAAUGAAAUUGGUAAAGAGGGAGUGUGAAAACCGAUCCUUUCCUCUUCUUUUGACAGUAUUUAAUUUUCUUUUAAUUUACAAUAUUUUAUACAUAAUUUUUUAAUAUAUUAGUUAUAUAAUAAAUGAUAUAAAAAAUACAUUAGAUAGAUAACUAAUAUGAUAAAAUCAUUAUAUUAAACAUAAAUAUUUUAUUAUUAUGAUAAAAUAAUUAGGGUUGAAUAUGUUUUUGGUCCUAUUUUUAAUUUAAUUUUUGUAUUUUUUAAUGAAAUUGUGCAUAAAUGUGUAAAAUAUUCUAAAAAAAAUUAUAAAAAAAAUUAGAUUUUUUUAACAAAACAUAAAUUAAAUAUGAAUUUUUAACCGUAAAAAAUAUAAAAACUCAUAUUAAAUUCAUGUAUCGUUAAAAAAUUCUAAUUUUUUUUGGGAGUGAUUAUUAUAAUAUUUUGAAUUUUUUUGAAAAAUAUUAUUAAAAAAUAUGAAUUCUAAAUAUGUGUGAGGGACAAAAAAUGAAGAUUGAAAACUUUAUAGGGACUAAAAUUUGAAGGAAAAUUUUAGAGGGACUAAAACGAAAAUUUGACAUAUUUAUAGGGACCAAAAACAUAUUUAACCCUAAUAAUUACAUUAAAGACAUCAUGUGUUUUAUGAAGGGUUAUUCAUCAUCGUCAUAAUAAAAAUCAUCCACAUUGUUGUCAGGGUUAUUUGCAUCUUCCCCAUUUUCUCUAGAGUUACUUGACUCCUCCCCACUAUCAGUGUCAAUAAGUAACAUUUGAGCUAACGUUUCAGCAUCAAGUUGUUGACCGUCAACAUCUCUGUCAACCAAAUUUGUAACAGGAUCNUAUAUAUAUAUAUAUAUAUAUAUAUAUAUAUAUAUAUAUAUAUAUAUAUAUAUAUAUACGCACACACGGGGGAGUACAUAUAAGAAGAUGUUGGAUAGUCUGAGGUUGAUGCUCGAUGAUUUUAGUGUCUAUACGACGCGGAUUUUUCAGAGAGCUUGGCAUGAGCAGGAGGUCUAACUUCUUGCAAUAUUUUGGAAAAGUUGCGCCCCCUUCCAAAUUAAUUAUCUUCUCUUGACAAAUGCUGCAGGAUAGUGUUUCAGCCUACCAGAAUCUGUUAUGUAGUAGAGUUAUCAUUGAUCUUAAUGGUAUCCCUCAAAUUAAAAGAAAUGGUAUUCUUAAUAUAAAAAUAAAUGGUAUCCCUCAUAUUAAAAGAAAUGGUUGAGAUUAAAACAUGACUUAAGGGAGUAAAGGAGUAAAUGGUAUCCCCAAUUUGAUAUACAUAAAAAUCACCCCAGUUUGAUAUGAUUAUAAUUUAUAUUAGAGAAUUGCGCCAAAAGCUAUUACGUCCAAUUUCUAUACAUUUCUAUAGGUUAAAGAGAUUGACUACACCAAACAAAGUAAAGGAAGGAAACACUACAAGAAAUAUUGGAUUUUCCUAGGGAAAUAUUCCUUGGAAAACACACCUUUUUUGUAGGAAAACACGGAUUUCCUAGAAAUUACCGAGGAAACAAGUUGUAGGAAAUUUUAGACUUAUUCCUACGAGAUUUCCGAGGAACUUCCGAGGAAAUACUUUUUCCGACAAAAUUACCAAGGAAAGUUUCGUAGGAAAGCAUUUUGCAGGCUGCCACAUCUGACACACGCUUUCCGACGAAAAUUUCGUAGGAAACAAUAAUAAUUAAAUAUUACACACAUUUUCCUACAAAACUUUCCUAGGAAACAAUAAUAAUUAAAUAUUACACGUUUUCCUAUGAAACUUUUCUAGGAAACAAUAAUAAUUAAAUAUUACACACGUUUUCCUACGAAACUUUCCUAGGAAACAAUUAUAUUUAAAAAAAAAUAAUUAGAUACAAAUUUUGAUUUCGAAAAAAGGCGCCAAAUAAUUUAAAUGAGGUGCCAAAAUUUCAUAAAAAAUCAAAUUUAAAAAAAAACGAAAAAUAAAAAAAGUGCGCCAAAAUUUGAAAAUAACCCAAAUUUUUUGAUAAUUUGUUUCCUACAAAACAUGUCAUGUUGAUAAAUAAUUACAUAAAACAAAAUUCAUAUAUGCAAGUUCAAUAUUUUCUUUGACAGUAACCACCUAAAACACCCAAAAAUCCCUAACCAAAAAACAGCAAUUGAAAAGAAUAUAAAUUACUCGUUAUGAUCAUCAUCCGUCUCCUCGUCCUCGUCCUCAUCAUCAUCAUUGUCGUCGUCAUAUGUUCGGUCUUCUUGAACCGUCGCUAUCAGUUAAACUGAUUCCAUCCUGAACAGUAAAAACAAACAUGUAACUAAUUAGUAAAAUAAAUCAUUUAUGGAUCGAACAAUGAGCAAAGCAAGUUGUGAAAAAUGCUAGGAAAGAACCAUAAAUAUAUGCGGAGCUAGCUGGAUCGAGUAACAGAAGGAUGAGGUACAAAGAGAGGAAGUAAAGAAGCUAUGUCCUAUACUGAUGUCGUAACUAGAAAUGCCAGUUCUAAUAACAAACUUAACUACUGGAUAGUAGCUAUAGCCUAUAGCCAAAUUUAAAAAUCAACUUAUUUCAAUUUCAAGAUCAUCACUGAUAUCAUAGCAAAGGACUAUUUCCAGCUUGACACUAUAAAAUGAAGCAGAGUUAGAACAAUUUUUUAAUUUCUUCCAACAUGAAAUAAAAUAAUCUCCUUAAGAAUCCCAAAAUGCAAACCAAUCAAAUAAUAGUUCAAAAGUGAACUGACACGACAUUCAAUCUUGGCUCCUUGGAUAUCAUCAUACACAUGCAAAAAUUAGUAUACUAGAAUUACAAGAGGUCAAUUACUACUAGAAUAUUUAGACCUCAUUUUGAUCCAUUGGCCAAUUACUACUAAACCAGAUGAAGUUAAAUAACCUACAGGAAGCAUAGCAACAUUAGUGAACUGGUUUGGUGCAUGAUAAUGCUCCUACACUUUCAACUUUCUCAUGAGUUGGAGCUAGAAAAAAUCUUUUAAUGAUCCUAGUUCUUAACAGAACUUGCAAAAGCUAAAAAAUCAUAAGCAAAUUACAGAGCUAUGCGGACAUAAUUACACAAUUUAUAUUCACAUAGCUAUAUAAUCUAUGCAACUUUUACCUGUAGAAUUACAACCAGAGUCUAUAGCUUAAUAAAAAAAAUUGUUUUUGAAAGAACAGCAUUUAAAAAGUUAACAUCUGAUAUUCCUAUAGCAUAUUCACAUAGCUAUAUAGUUUAUAAUCACACAGUUUAUAGCAUGUCCAUAACAACAAAUACAAUACAACUAAAAGAGUAAAACCCCACUACAGGGAUUGCAGAUUUCCCCAUUUCAAAAGCUCAAUAAUCCACAACUAUUGAAAUGUCGCAUAAACACACAAAGUUGGGGUUUUUUUUUUAUUUUAAAAAAAAAUGUAUAUGUCGCAUAAACACACAAAAAAAUUGGGUUUUUUUUUUCUUUUGUCAAGCAAGAUGCUAUGAAUAAUCACAAACCCUAAAAAUUAAGAAAAGAAACAGAAAAACCCAACAAAGAGAGAAAAAUAAGGAUUCAGAUACGAUACCAUUAGAGAAGAUGAUAGAGGAGUUGAGAGAGAAAAGAAAGAUACCGAUUGGUGCAUCAAACGAUGGAAGUAGCGAUUGAUGAUGGAAGCAGCGAUUGGUGAUGGAAGCAGCGAUGGAAAGAAGAUGAUGAACAGUGAAGGGAAAUCGAUUUAUGCCAUGAGUGAGGAACCGAUUGAGUGAAGAUUUGGUUAGUGAGAUUGAGCCAUUAGGGUUAGUGAGAUUGAAAUUUAGGUUUCAGAUUUGGGGGGGGGAAAGUGAGAUUGAGGAAGUAUUUUCAUUUUAGGGUUUUGGAGAUGAUGGAGGGAGAUUGAAAUUGGGGAAAAGAGGUGGGAGGGAGAAGAAUGAAAUUG